AGAGUUUGAUCCUGGCUCAGGAUGAACGCUGGCGGCGUGGAUAAGGCAUGCAAGUCGAACGGUGCAGGGUAGCAAUACUCUGCAUAGUGGCGAACGAGUUAGUAACACCUUGGUAUCUGCCUCGAAGUCGGGCACAACUAGCCGAAAGGUUAGCUAAUUCCCGAUAGUCUCGUAAGAGUAAAGUCGCAAGACGCUUUGAGAGGAGCCUAGGUCCUAUCAGCUUGUUGGCGGGGUAACGGCCCACCAAGGCUAUGACGGGUAGGGGGUGUGAGAGCACGACCCUCAACGACGAAACUGAGAUACGGUUCGUACACCUACGGGUGGCAGCAGUCGAGAAUAUUCGACAAUGGGCGAAAGCCUGAUCGAGCGACGCCGCGUGCAGGAAGAAGGGCUUCGGCCUGUAAACUGCUUUUGUGUGGGAAGAACUUUGACGGUACCACAAGAAUAAGGGGUUGCUAACCUCGUGCCAGCAGCAGCGGUAAUACGAGGACCCCGAGCGUUAUCCGGAAUUACUGGGCGUAAAACGUGAGCAUCCGGUCAUGCUAGUCCAAUGUUAAAUCUCAUUGCUCAACGAUGAGACCGCGUUGGAAACGGCACGACUAGAGCGGGUAAGAGGCAGACGGAACGUGCAGUGUAGGGGUGAAAUCCAUUGAUAUUGCACGGAACACCAAAAGCGAAAGCAGUCUGCUAGUGCUCUGCUGACGGUCAAUCACUAAAGCGUGGGGAUCAAAAGAUUAGAUACCCUAGUAGUCC
rnacentral:rRNA from 1 species